rnacentral:rRNA from 1 species
CAGUAGCCGCGGUAAUACGAGGGGGGCAAGCGUUGUUCGGAAUUAUUGGGCGUAAAGGGUGCGUAGGCGGCCCCGCGAGUCUCAUGUGAAAUCUUCAGGCUCAACUUGAAGUCUGCAUGGGAAACUGCGGGGCUGGAGUAUGGGAGAGGUGAGUGGAAUUCCUGGUGUAGCGGUGAAAUGCGUAGAUAUCAGGAGGAACACCUGUGGCGAAAGCGGCUCACUGGACCAUAACUGACGCUGAGGCACGAAAGCUAGGGGAGCAAACAGGAUUAGAGACCCGAGUAGUCCCUGUCUCUUAUAC